CCGAAAAGCAAAACGUGUGCUCUCCUCUGCUCCCCCAGGAAUCAACUAUGGAAAUUGGAAAGUGUUUAUUGAAUUGAAGUGAUUUGCAUGAAGAUCCACACAGAUAAUCGUCAUUCUAUGUUACCAGUGACCAGGAUACCAGCUGUCCUGGUUCUCUCCUUGUUCUCAUUGGUCCAUAUUUUCUGCUCGGCAUACUACGAUACACCCAGGUGUUCAAGGCUUGUCGGAUACCAAGACGUCGUACAAAUACAUUGAUAAGUUAAGUCUAUCAAAUGACAAUAGACGAGAGAUUCAGGAGAUACUGCUGGACUCCGGCGCCCAGCAUGAAAAGCUGCUAGCAGAGUACCAGGCAGAGACAUACAGACCAUUGACCAUCGGGUGUCAUGGCCGAGUAGUUUUAAGAGCAUCAAAUUCUA